UGCAUAUGAGAUGAGAAUGCAUCUACAGAUACAUAUCGAUGUUUUCUACGAAAUUUCAUCGGAUUUUACUCCCAGCAUCUCUCUUCCUCUGUAUCUUCUAUGGAAUUUUCUCCGUGAGCUUUUGCUGGAUUUCUCAGUAACAACACGAGAAUUUCUCCAUCGUUCUUCUUUACUCACUGGUAUUUGAUUAAAAUUGGUCGGUGUUUAAAUUAGGGAUAUCUGUUCCACCUCACAGACUGAAACACUUCUGAAAUCUUCGAUUUUCUAUCUCUGUCAGUGCUGUAUCAUUGUGAAGAAACGAUGUUUAUAGCAAGAAAAAGCUACCUGUAGCUUAAACCCCAAAGUUAACUCCUUCUCACUGUAAGACCUUCUUUGCCACCUCAUUUGUAUUCUUUAUGAUUAUUUUUAGUUGAAUAUUGUAUUUUGCUCUGUUAAUCAAAAUUUGGUUUUCUUAA